rnacentral:misc_RNA from 1 species
GACGGAGGGUGCAAGCGUUAUUCGGAAUUACUGGACGUAAAGGGCGCGUAGGCGGCUCUUUAAGUCAGGCGUGAAAGCCCGGGGCUCAACCCCGGAAGUGUGUUUGAAACUGAGGAGCUUGAGUACGGGAGAGGGAAGUGGAAUUCCUGGUGUAGAGGUGAAAUUCGUAGAUAUCAGGAGGAACACCGGUGGCGAAGGCGACUUCCUGGACCGAUACUGACGCUGAGGCGCGAAAGCGUGGGUAGCAAACAGG